AGAGAGGAAAACACGCGCGCGCACACACGGUGAUAUCUUGCGGGUGAUGAAUAUGAUAAUUGGACAAGGGACGGUGAGUCGGUGCGACAGCGAGCGGGGCGAGUGGGAGAGGGAGAGGGGAGAGAGAGAGGCGGGCGGGGAGGGGAGAGGAGAAAAGAGGAGCAGGGGAGAGGCGAGGAGAGCGAAGACGAGAAGAAUAGAAGAGGAGCGAAGGGAAGAGGAGAGGGCAGGAGAGGAGGAGAGAGACGAGCGGAGGAGAGGAGAGAGCAGCGGAGGAGGAGAGAGGAGAAGGGUAAAAAGAAGAGCGAAGCGGAGAGGGAGCAGGCGGACCCGGCGAGAGCUCUUUUGCGCCGCUCUGCUUUCCCCGGCUGCAAUGGUGUAUUAUUUCAGAGCGCUCCCUCAGCUGAGGGCUCCGCUCCACAACAAGAUUUACUUUAAGACACAGCUGAAGGAAACAGGAAGACUGCACGUCACAGUCUAUCUGACGUACCCGGCCCCAGCACCCAAUCGCGAGGCGCCUUCGGAUUCAAGGGGGGAUAGCAAGGCAAGAGAACUUGGGAGGAAAAAAAAUAUAAAAGGGGUGGGGGUGAGGGGCUGGGAAGAGAGGAGGGGAGAGGGGCCCCGCGCUCCCCCUCCCGGGCCUCCAUCCCCGGCCCCCACCCCCACCCCCGCCCUGCCACUGCUUCGGGGCGACUGGAUCGCCGCGCCGGGGGCCGGAGCGAGCCAUCUGCGGGCACUAUGCAAAGCGGGAGACGGCGCGAGCGGCGCCCAGCUCACGUUCGCUCUUCCAGGACGCAGGACAGAAGAGCUCCUUGGCACUGGACGCCUCCGGGUCUGGUGA
rnacentral:lncRNA from 1 species